UCAUGGAUUCAACCAUGAUGUAUUUCUUCCCUAAGUGGACAUCGAGUGUGAUGUGUGUUUGUGUAUCAUAUUAUAUUAUGAAAUAUUAGUCUUCUGUGGAAUGGUUACUGCAGUGCUUCAUUUCUUAUAUUGUUAAUAUCUGUGAAAUUAUUUUUUUCUUUGACAGAUUUCGAUUAAAUCAGGUAAUAAAUACUCUUUAGUUUUGAUACUAUUAAGUAAUUUAUGUUGGCCUAUGUAAUUAAAAUUUCACAUAUUUAAAUGCAUAGAUCAACCUCGAUGUUAAAAUUUUUUGUCAAAUUUUGUUUAAAAUUUUGAAUGAUGGAUGUGUGUGGCCACUUGCAUGUCCAAGUAGAAUCUUCAGGCACUGUUAUUUUUAAGUUCGAAUGCUACACAAUGUUAAAAUGAUUCUAACAUAGAAGAGCAUGCUUUUUAAUGAGUUUGGCACUGAAGAACGCCAAGAUCAGGUUUAUCACCAGUGUUCUGUUGCAGAGGCACAGCGAUCUUUUCAUGUUAUAAAUAUUUUUUACAAGGCACAAGUAUCAGUCCUCUAAGGAAACUGGCAAUAUCAUGUGUCCAUUGUAAACUGCCAAAAUGAUUCAAUUCCAAGUUCAAGGUCUAAAAACAGAAGCAAAGUGAAUCAUGCUUUAUUAGACUUUCUCCCUACCUAUUCUAUGCUGCCCACAGAUGCAGAAAUUUAGCAAUAUUUGUACAUGUACAGAUAUGCCAACAAAGUGCUUGAAUAUUUAAUGUAGUUUUUUUUCUUUUAUUCAUGUUCAGUAAGUGUUUUAUCCUUAUCUAUCCCAGGAGCACUAGAGACGAGGCUGUAAUGCACCCUGUAUCAGACACACAUUCAAACACUACAUUUCCCACUAGGAGCAAGUUGCCAAAUCACCUCACUAUUUUCAGAAAUCCGAAGAUCUGUUUCCAAUACCAUAUUCUAACAUGUAGUAUUAAAUGAAAGUUAAUACGCCCUUGGCAGAUAAUUACUAGGCAAUCAAAGUUCAGAGGCUGUUGCCAAUGAUGAACUGGAUUCACAAAUUUAAUUUCUGAAACCCUAUCUCAGCUUAACCUUCUUAUUAGAAUUUAAUGCGGAUAUAGAAACCACAUCAGCUGUGGUCUCAGGACUUAAGAAUUUUAGUCCCCUACUGAAGUGUGUAUAAAAGAGUUUAGCCAGACUCCUUAAAACUUUCCCAGAUGCUCUCAGGCAGUCUCUGAGUAAGUCCUGUUUGAGUUCAAAUUUACCUAAUUUUUGGUGGAUUCAGUAUAAUAUGGGGAUUUUAGGUUCAGAGUAAAGGCUUAUGGCUUCAUGGGCUUAUGGUCAGUUAUAUUAUUUCUCUGUAAAUUUUUCUGCAUGGAUUAUACCACUUUUAUAGCACAUUAGCGAAUGUUGUUGUUGGCUUUGUCACAAUUGCAGUUUGAUAGCUGUCCCUUUGUAGUUUUAAUUUGAGUAACAUAACAUUUAUUGUGGUAAAGUCAUAUUUUGAAAAUUGUAAACAUAUUUAAGUAUUUGAAAACAUAAACCUACAUACAUUUAUGUAUAAAAUUCAAAUCUCAGGAUUUUUUUAAACACCUAUGUUUCAGAAUGUUCUUAAAAUGGAACAGCUAAUUUCCAAGAUGUUGAUUUUCACCUUUUUUAUUUUUAGAGGCAUGCAGGAUUUUUUUGGAUGAAGUAUUCUAACUGUUAAUUCUCAAAUUCUAAUUUGUAUAAUUCUCCUAAUUUUAAAUACUUUACACAACAUGGCAGUUUGCAUGUGUUUAUCUCAUUUUUAAAUAUUUAUAAGUAUUCUAUUGAGAAAACCGCUGUAUAAAAAGGAACUUUAUCAAUUAUUAAUUUAAUUACUUUAAAAGAAUGUUUACUGAUUACUUAAUCAUUUUAAUAGGACACCGUUUCUAAUUUUUAUUAUGUUCCAUGAUAAUGUGUGAUAUCCUGUUCCCUUUCUUUUUGCUCCAAAUAUUUUUGAUAGUAAUAGGUAAGAGAAUUUUUCCCUGUAGGCUAGAAAAUACCUUGCUCUGUAACUCUGUCUAUGAAUUUCACAGUGUCAUAGUGUUGGAUGUGCUCUAAUUCCUUUCAAGAAUCAAGUCCUUGCUGUCUGAAGCAAAUGACUCUGGAGACAGGAUGUAUGUGCAAGUGUCUGCCAGCAUCAGAUUAUUCCUGUGCUCUACCCUGGCAGUCCGUUCCUUCGUGUCUUCAAGAAGCAGUUGAAGGUCAUAAUGUGAGUGCAGCCAUUUUGAUGGAUAUUUGAAUCAUCGUUAAUCUGGAUGGAGUUUAUAAAUGAUUUUGUCCAGGCUUCUGGUCUCUCUUUGUCAGUUCACAUAUCAUCCUGAAAAGCCAUCUCAAGUCAAGGCCUUGAUCUUUGUAAAAAUCUGGUCGGUAUGAAACAGGCACACCUCAGACACAUUUUAAUUCACUUUGUAAUUCCAAAACAUAACUGUUUUGAAGUUGUAGCAUAUGUAAUUUUUUUUCAUGUUUAUGUAUGAGGUAAUUGAGUGGUCUUCAGCGACAUUCUCGGCAAACAAAAAAGAAAACAACCCUGGAAAGCAUAAAACUUAUGAAAUCAGUGUUUAUGUAAUGCUUUCACGAUUACUACAUAGUCUGAUUUCUUACUUAUGUCAUCUGAAAUAGUCAUGCAUUAAAAGCAUGAAUAUUUCAUAUAAUAUUUUAUUUCUAAUUUAAUUUUUGUAUUUAUGUAGUUAUAUUUUGGUUAUAUUUCUUCACAUUAUGAGAAAUGUCUGGUCUUAUAGCUCUACUCUUGAUCAGCAGGGAAUCAAGUUAAGGCUCAGGCUCAGAUUUAAUACCACAUUAUAACUAUAAUCUACUUCCAAAAUGAAAAAUAAUAUAUUUUGGCAGAUGCAUUUGCAGAAGCUCCUGAGUUACCCUGGAUUGGAUCAAAUUGAAACUCAAUAUCAAGAAUGCUAUGCCCUUAAUAGGAAUAAAUACAGAUAUAGAUACUCACACAGCAGAGUUCUAAUGGCUCAAGAUUUCUGCCUAGAUUCAGGAAGCUUUGUCAUUAAGGCCUCUUCUGAAGGUGAUAUAAAAAUUGUUUUUGUUCAUUUCAGACCCCUACUACAAAAGAGUAUUUAGAUUACAGUUUCAUUUGUAUAUACUGUAUCCAAAAAUAGUUAAUAUAUAAACAAUAUAUACAGACUCAUUCCUUUUUCCUCAUUUUGUUACUUUGCUCUGUGCUUUUUACUGAUUACAUUCUUAAGUCUUUUUGGGUGUAAUGCUCCUAGCCUGGAUUUGGGGAUUUGUGCAUACCUGUCAGGGAGGAUGAAGUGCAUCACCGUAUCACUCUUUUAAAUUUUCUCCAGAAAUAUUUAUUUGGGUUCUAGUCCAUGCUCUGGCUCGGUGACCCAAAGAUGUUCACAGAUGUGUGUUCUAUAUAUGAAGUCUCAAAGCCACUGCUGUAUUGCCUUGGCUGUUUUUUGUGUCAUUGGUGUGUUGGAAAGUGAUCCUUCACCCCCUUCUAAAGUCCUCGGCACUCUUCAUCAGGUUUUAAACAAAACAUGUGCCUGUACUUUGAUCUGCUUGUCUUUCGCUCAAUCCUAACAAGUCUCCCAGUCCCUGGUGCUGAAAAACAUCCUAACACAGCAUUUUUACCAAGCGUAUUAGAGAGUGGAAUGAGUGGAAAACGGGCUUUAGCACCACCUUGGGCCACUACGAAUACCUUGUAAUGCCAUAGGGGCUCUCUAGAGCCCCUCUAUGUUCCAAUGUUUCAUUAACGAUGUCUUAAGGGACAUGUUGGGUAAAUAUGUCAUAACGUAUAUCCAUGACAUCUUAAUUUAUUCCCCUUCCCUUGAAGAUCAUGUCCUACAUGUCCACUAGGUCUUGCAAAGAGUCCUGCACCACCAGCUGUACGUCAAGGGAGAAAAGUGUGAAUUCCAUCUGUGCAGUAUCUUAUUCUUGGGUUAUAUCAUUAGUCCAGAUGGGGUCACCAUGGACCAGUAUAAAGUAGCAGCUGUAGUAGACUGACCCGCUCCUCGCACUGUCAAAGACCUACAAAGAUUUCUAGGCUUUGCCAACUUCUACCGGCGCUUCAUCUGGGGCUUCAGCUCAAUAGCCCACCAGGGAGAAACUAUGAUGUCAGUGACCAAGACCUGUUGGCCGUCAAACUAGCCCUAGAGGAAUGGCGACAUUGGCGUGAGGGGGCCGCCAAACCUUUUGUAAUUUUCAAUCAUCGUAAGAACCUUGAAUACUUGCGCAUAGCCAAACGUCUGAAUCCUUGACAAGCUCAUUGGUCCCUAUUCUUUUGAGGUUUCCAGUUUACCAGUCUUACUGUUCUGGUUCAAAGAACAAAAAAGCAGAUGCUCUGACCCAUAUGCAAGCCACUGAGCCCAACAAGAGCAAGGAGGAGUUAAUUCUUCCAUCUUCCUGUCCACGCCCAGACAACAAAUUCCUUGUUCAUGCCCCCCAAACAAUCUCUUCAUCCCGGAUCGACUUCGAGCUGAGCUUAUCUUCUGGGCACACACCCACACUGCAAUGGCCCUGGUCACACAUUGCCAUAGAUUUCCUCACAGACUUACCAGAAUCACAAGGCAAAACAGCGAUCCUAGUAGUGAUUGAUCGCUUCUCCAAAUCCCUACAUCUAGUUCCACUUCCCACCAUCUCAUCUUUUACCACAGCAGAACUUCUCUUUAGCCAUGUAUUCAGAUAUUCUGGUAUUUCGGAGGAGAAUGUCAACGACUGGGGUUCACAGUUGGUGUGGGCAAGCUUCAUGGAGAAACUGGCGGUGACCGUAAAUUUAAUCUCGGGCUACCACCCACAGGCAAAAGGCCAUGUAGAGCGAGCAAACCAAGAGCUGAUUUCUCCGCACCUUCUGUGCAGCUAACCCUGAUGACUGGUCCCAGUUCCUACCAUGGGCAGAAGGGGGGCAGUCGUGGCCUAAUGGAUAGAAAGUCGGACUUGCGACCCGAAGAUGAACCUGAAGGUUGUGGGCUCGAGUCUCAGGUCCGGCAGGGAUUGUGGGUGGGGGGAGUGAAUGACCAGCGCUCUCUUCCACCCUCAAUACCACGACUGAGGUGAGACCCUUGAGCAAGGCACUGAACCCCCAACUGCUCCCCGGGUGCUGCAGCAAAAAAGGCUGCCCACUGCUCCGGGUGUGUGUUCAUGGUGUGUGUGUGUGUGUGUGUUCACUACUGUGUGUGUGCAUUUGGAUGGGUUAAAUGCAGAGCACAAAUUCCUAGUAUGGGUCACCAUACUUGGCCACAAGACACUUCACUUUCACUUUCACUUUCAAGGCGCACAAAACUGCCUGGUGAACAUCCCCGUUACCAAUCAGGUGAUCAUGGUCUGGCUCUCUACCCGGGACCUGAGACAACCCCACACCUGUAAGAAGCUCAGCCCCAGGUACACUGGCCUAUUCAAGAUUCUGAGACAGAUAAAUGAAGUUACCUACAAGCUUGACUUACCUCGUCACAGUCGCAUAGCUCCUUCCUUUCAUGUCUCCUGACUCAAACCAGUUGUCCCUUGCCCUCUAGCCACAGACGUUCCUCCCAAUAACCCCCCUGAUCCCCUGGAUAUUGAAGGCCAACCAGCCUACCUGGUAAGAUCUAUUCUAAACUCCCAUUGGAGUACCUUGUCGAAUGAGAGGGUUAUGGCCCAGAGGAACAAUGCUGGAUUGUACUGGAGGCAUCAAGCCAUCCUGAGCGUCCUGGUCCACGGCCUAAGGGGAGGCCCAGGAGGAACUUUGCUCUCAGAGUGAGCCCUUCAGGGGGGACUGUCAUAUCACAACAAAUCAAGGACUCCAACUCCCAGCAGACAUCAUGGCCUCUUCGGACUACACUCCACAGAUCACUCACAUGCUCCCUCAUUCACAGUCACCCAGCUCCUAAUUGAGCACACCUGUUCACAAUUACACACACAAACAGGACACUUUCUAUAGAGACUCUCAGUCACAUACAGGUUGCAAAGUAUGUGCUCAGCUUGUCCUCGUACACCAAGUCUUAGUUUAUUGUUGUUUUCCCUGGUUUUUGACACAGCCCCUUUAUUGUUUCUGAUUUCUGUCUUUCCUAGUUUAGUAUGUUUGCUGAUCUACCCACCUGUGCCUGUUUCUGGACUUUGAUCUUGAUUGGUGAUUUGGAUUUGUUUUUUUUUCUUAAAGCUGCCUUACCUGCAAUUGCUUCCGUCUAUGCCUCCAGUACAUGACAGUUACUACAAAAAAUAUUAGUGAACCAUUUCCAGAGGCAGCCCUGCAAGCCCCCGCCCCAUGACACUACUUCUGCAAUGCUUGACUGAUGAGCGUUUGUGUUUUGGAUCAUGAGCAGAUCCUGUCUUUCUCCACACUUUUUCCUUUCUAUCACUUUGGUAGGGGUUAAUCUUGGUUCCAGAAUUUUUGUGGCUCAUCGCUAUAUUUCUUUAGGACUUCUGGCUUUUCGAAUUCUUACUGCUGAUGAGUGGUUUGCAUCUUGUGGUAUGGCCUCUAUAUUUCUGCUCUUGAAGUCUUUUUCGAACUGUGAUACCUUCACCCCUGCCCUGUGGUUGUUUUCAGGUUUUUCUUCACAGUUCUCACAAUAUUUCUUUCAUCUACUGCUGUUGUUUUCCCUGGCCGACCUGUUCCAUAUCUGGUUGUUUGUCCAACAGUGGUUUAUUUUUCAGGACAGUACAACAAAUUGGACUGAUCGCAUUGAGUUAUAUCCAAUGCUUUUCCCUCUUUUCACAGAUUCAAAAUAGCUUGCUUUUCUCCCAUAGACAGCUCUCUGGUCUUAAUGUUGGUUUAUCCUUUUUAACAACAAGUGCAGUCUUCACAGGUGAAACCCAGGGCUCAAACCAAGAGUAGAACAUUCUGAACAAUUAAUUGUUUAAACAAUCAUUCUAAGAGGGCACACCUGGGCAACAAGAAACCCCUGUCAGUCACAUGUUCCAAUAUUUUUGUUCCCUUGAAAAAUGAGUGUGUUCAUACUAAAUGUUAAUACAAAAUCAAGAUGUAAAUAUCAAGGAAAUGAAAGCUGAAAUUCUGAUCUAUUGUCUCAUUCAUCAUUUGAUCUCAGUCCCAAAUGUCUUCAGUGUGUACCCAAACCAAAAUAUUGGCCUGGUAUGUUUGGUGUUCACAGUCUUUCCUGCACCAGAUUCUCCACUGGGGGUAGAAAGAAUAAACAAAUGCCUACACUUUAGAACACAAAUAAGUCAGUUCUAGAGGCUGCUGUUCAUGCCUUAUAGGUCAUUAUCAUACUGCUAUCAUGUGUUGAUGAUUAGGAAACAUGUUUGAGUCACAACCGUUGCUUGUUUUAAAAGUUUUUAUUGUGCAUGGUGCAUGUAUCUAGAUGAUGGUGUGUUACAAAAUAAUAUGGCACAAAGUAUAAUUAAGUAUAUCACUCACACCUUUCUCUUCAUUUUCCAUUUCAGUCUCUAUCUGAAUUUGUCUGCUUUAGUGACUUUUCCCAGGUAAACAAGAUGCAAGGACUUGAAUAUAUUUGAUGCAAAUUUAUUUAUUUAGCUUAUGCAUGGACAUUAACAAGAAACAUAUUAUAUGGUUGCUUGUUGGUGCCCGGUGAUGUUGGUCUUCAUCUUUCAUUCAGCCACAUCUUUGCUCUAAAAAGUUAUAUACAUUAUUAUAAAAGUUGGAUUUUAAGUAUGUACAAGGUUUUUAUUUUAAAAAAAAAUUCUACAAUUGAAAUAAAAUUUCAUAAAAA